UUUAGCUUUCUUAUGUGUCGACCCGUAUUUUGCUAUCUAUGUUCUCAUGCAACUUGUUUUUCUAUUUGGUGAAAAUUUGAUUUUUUGAAAAAGACUUGGAAUUACAACUUCUUUAUUUGGAAAAAAGAUGUCAGCAAAAUCCAAAUCUGAAUCCGGGGUCAAGUUACUUAUUAGGAAGGUACGGUGGUGAGUCGUAGCACCCUCAAAGCCCCCAUAUACAUACGGUCUUUACUAAACAAAUUAAAAGAAUUGUGAUAAUUAAUUAAUUAAUCAUGGUAUAGACCCCCUCAGCUGGGGGCAUUGGCUGGUUUUUAUUUUUAUUCAUUUUUUUUUCUUUUCUUCUUCUUUUCUGCUUUCUUUAUCCACCCGAGGACGGCUGGAAGUGAAAGGAGGGAAAAUGAGUUAUCCUUAGGCUGCUGUAAGGGACAGGGGGCGAACAGUAUUUGAGCAGCUGAAGAGGACGAGAAGUAGGCGGGAAAAAAGGAAGAGAGCUGGGCGGGGGGAUUUGAGUGGGAGUGGUAUGUUUGGAGGGAGAGGAAUAUAGCUAGACGGUUUUCAUUAGUUUCAUGGGCAUUAGAGGUGGAUUUUAAGGCGUCUGAAGCUGAACAGGGCUUUAGGGGAGAAGGGUAUUCUCAGGUAUGUAUGAAUGUAACAGGUUCAUUGAUACGUUCUUCCUGCAAAAUGACCAGUUAGCACAAGGGCACUCUUCGAGCGAGUGUCAGCUCCAAUAUCUCCAGAACGAAGAAGGGAGAAAACAGAGAAAAGGUUGAGCAGAAAAAGGAAGAAUAAGGAAAAGAGAGAAAGUUCAGAUCCAAAAUCUCAUAGCCUCCAUCAUGCAGACCUCUCCCGAGAGUUUUAUGCCUUCUCUUGGGAAAAUCAAAACCAAAGCGACACAACCGUCUAACAGAAUUGGUUACAACCAGAAAUAGUAAAUUGCAGGAAAAAAAUAAAAAAAUAAAAAAACAAACCAAAAGAUAAAACCAGAGCUUCACGUCCCUUUCCUUACACGACGUAGUCGUUCAUCCAAAUUGGUGGUUUUCUGGGCCUGCGUGGGCCUGAGUUGGACUGGGCCUUGGAAUGCUUGGUGACUAGCUAAGUGGCAGCAUUGGGCUCUUCCAUGGGAGGUACUUUAGGUGUAUUGGGCUCUUCCACAACGGAUGCUUCAGUUGUCUGUACAUGUUGCUGUAAAGGAAUUGCCACGAAUGUAUCAUUCCCCACUCCAUGAAAAUCGACCUUGUCCUCAAGGUGGUAAUCAGGGUAAAGUCUGCAGAAUGCGACAAAAUCUUCCCAGGUUGCGUUCUCAGGGUCACUGGCGGUCCACUGCACCAGAAUUUGUUGGACUUCUUUUCCCUGUCGGAGAAUCGUUCGAACAGCACAAACAGCUGCUAGUACUAAUAGAGGAUGGAUGCCCAUAGUUUCGGUCGGGAGUGGAUAGACUUCUUCAGGAACGGGUCCUCGAAAAGGCUUAAAGGCAGAUAUGUGAAACAUGGGAUGGAUCUUGCAGCCACUGGGUAAUGCUAAACGAUAAGCGACGGCCCCAAUCCGCUCAAGCACUUGGUACGGUCCAUAAUACCGUUUGGCCAAUUUUUGGUAGGGACGAUGAGCUGCGGUAGUUUGCCGAUACGGUUGUAAGCGAACAAGAACCAUAUCUCCUACUUCAAGCUGCAGGUCGCGCCGAUGUGCAUUGGAUUUUUGCGUCAUCCGGUGUUGAGCUUGACGUAGAUUCUCCUUCAAGGUACGGAGCAAGGCAUCGCGCUCCACAAGUGCCUCAUCGAGGGCUUGGAUUGAAGUAGAGCCCUGGGUAUAAGCCGGAAUGAUCGGAGGGGGACGUCCGAAUAAGGCCUUAAAAGGAGUCAUUUUUAGUCCACUAUGAUAACUGGAAUUAUAACAAAAUUCAGCCCAUCCGAGAAAAGAGAUCCACGAGUGUGGCUUCUCAUUCGUGAAUGCACGUAAGUACUGCUCUAGUCCCCGAUUGACGACUUCGGACUGCCCGUCCGUUUGUGGGUGGUAAGUCGUACUAUGGCGCAAGGAUGUCCCGCUAAGCUGAAAGAGUGUCUGCCAAAAUUUACUCAUGAAGACAGGGUCGCGAUCGGAUAUGAUCGAACUCGGAAACCCAUGAAUCUUGACCACAAUUGUCGCAAAAACUUCCCCUGAUUUGGCGGCUGUGAACUGAGUUGGCAAAGCCUCGAAGUGCGCUGACUUGGUGAGACGGUCGACCACCACCAUGAUAACUGUAAAAUUGCAGGAAGGGGGUAGGUUGGUAAUGAAGUCCAUGGUGACUUCGUCUCAUACCAACGAAGGAACUGGGAGUGGCUGGAGGAGUCCAGCUAGUGCUUGGGUUGAAUACUUCGUCUGUUGACAAACUAAGCAUGCUGAAACAUAUUGCUCCACAUUUGCCCGCAUGCGUGGCCAAUAAAAAAAAAGUAGCCAAGCGAACCAAGGUACGUUUUACUCCACCAUGACCCGCGAAUGGGGUAGCAUGAAACUCGUGCAACAGUAGGGCCUUUAAGGAAGAGUUGGGGCUGAUGUAGUAUCUAUGCUUGAAGAACAACAAGCCAUCAUGAAGGGAAUAGUCCGAAGAGAGGGAACCCGUCGUGAACUGUUGAUGAAGGGAGACUAAGUCCGGGAAUGUAGAGUUUUCCUAACGAAGGGUGGUCAAAAACUCUAAGGAGGGGUGGCUCGAGAACGACAGACAUGAAGGCGCGGAUAGCGCAGGCUGUUCCAAUUCCUCUUCAUGGACCCGAGACAAAGCGUCCGCAGCUUGAUUAGCACGCCCCGGCUUAUAUUCGAUUCGAAAAUGGUAGCCCAACAACUUCCGGAUAUAAAUCUGUUGAUCUGGAGUUUGUACCACCUGCUACAAUAAUUCUUUCAUGCUUUUGUGAUCCGUUCGGAUAAUGAAAAACCUGCCCAAUAGGUAUUGGCGCCAUUUGUGUACUGCCUCAGCAAUGGCGUGAAGUUCCUUGAGGUAUGUUGAUGAAGCUUGUAGGCGCGGACCCAAUUUCUUGCUGAAAUAAGAGAUUGGGUGACCUGCUUGCAUGAGAACGGCGCCUAUUCCCACAUUAGACGCGUCAGUUUCGAUCACGAAGGUCUCAUUGAAAUCUGGCAACCGUAAAACUGGCGCUGCAACCAUUGCACUUUUCAGGGCAUCAAAAGCCACGGUAACCUCCGGAGUCCAAUUAAAAGCGUCUUUGCGUAACAAAUCCGUGAGCGGAGCCGCGAUUGAAGCAUAACUGUGAAUGAACCACCGAUAAUAGCCAGUGAGGCCGAGGAAAACUCGGAGGUGCUUCAAGGUGCAGGGUAUGGGCCACUUCAUCAUGGCAUCGAGUUUUUGCGGAUCGGCACGUACCCCGCCAGCAGAAACUAUGUGUCCCAGAUACUCAAUUGUCUCCUGGCAAAAGUGGCAUUUGGAGAGCUUGACGUAAAAACUACCCUUGUGAAGGCAAGUCAAAACCUGCUCCAGAUGAGUAACAUGCUUAGAAAUAAUAGUGUUGUAAACCAGAAUAUCGUAAAAAAAAAAAACGAUUACAAACUUGCGCAAGAAUGCAGCAAACAACUGGUUCAUUGUGGCUUGAAAAGUGGAUGGGGCAUUCAACAGCCCAAAAGGCAUGACAAGAAAUUCGUAGUGGCCCUCAUGAGUCCGAAACGCUGUUUUAUAGACGUCCCUAUUAUGUACCCUGAUUUGGUGGUAACCAGCCCGGAGGUCCAGUUUGCUAAAAAUAGUAGCGCCUCCUAAUUCGUCCAAAAGCUCGUCAAUGGUUGGAAUCGGGAAUUUAUCUUUGAUCGUUACUGCAUUGAGAGCGCGGUAAUCGACACAAAAGCGAUAGGUACCGUCCUUUUUUUUUUAACCAAUAACACCGGAGAGGAGAAAGGACUUUGACUUGGCCAAAUUAUACCUUGAUCAAGCAUCUCUCGAAUUAAUUUUUCCAUCUCAUUUUUUUUGGAAGUGUGGAUAUCGAUAAGGACAAACAUUCACUGGCUUUGAAUUAGGAAUGAGAUGGAUCUUGUGGUCAAUGGUGCAGUGCGGGGGAAGGCCUGUUGGCGGAAGGAACAGGUCACGAAAUUUCUGCAAAGUAGUAGAGAUUGCCACGAGCAAGGUAUUGGGAAAAAUAAGUGUAUUCUCUUUGGUAACCAAAGAGGCAGUUUUCAACUCUUCUGUCGCUAGUGGCUGCAAGACAAACAUGCUGUGGACAUUUGAACUGUGGAUCAGUGCCUGAAAUUGAUUAAAAGAAAUCAAGAUAGAGGACUGGUGCAAAUCCCCAUGGAGAAUGAUCGGACGCCCUUCCCAACAAAACUCCAUUGACAGGGCUGUAUAAUCAUGGGCAACACGACCCAAUUAUUGCAGCCAUUGAAUACCAAGAACGACAUCAGGUCCUUCAAUUGGCAGGAUAAAAAGAUUUAAGGGAAACACAUUCCCUUGCAACAUCAAAGCAACUUGGGGGCAAGUGUGCUGGCAAAUUAAAUAAUCUCCAUUGCCAAUGUAAACUCGAAAUUUAGGUGUUGGCUGAAUAGGGAGGCCCAAACGCUCCACCAGAGCCGGUUUAAUAAAAUUGUGAGUACUACCACUGUCGAUGAGCACAUGGAAGCGAUGAGACCCAAACUCACCAACUAAACGAAGGGAGCGGGGAUUACCUUGGCCUGCCAAGGCAUUGAGGCUGGAAAUGUCGCUCGUGACCAAGUCCUCGGCUGGUUCGGUUGCCACGCCAUCAUCAUCUGUAUCCUCAUCAAUAUCAUCCGUCCCUAAAAGAAGCAAAAAUUUGUUGCGACAACGAUGAUUAGCAGAAUAUUUUUUGUCACAAUUAUAGCAUAAUCCCUUUUCGCGCUUCUCUCGUAACUCAUUAGGGGUGAGGCGACGAAUAGGUAAAGCAGGGGCCGGAGCUAUGGGUGGUGUUUGCUUAUGCCCGACCGUUGUCGGUGGUGAGGCCGAAGCGGGGGUGGCUGUCUGAAACGGGCCCGUCGGAACGGUCGUUACAGCAUGUUGUCUAGUGGAACUCUCCGUGGACGUGUUGGCAGCAUUGGAAGAGGACCACUUAUGCCAAGGGCGAGCGCUCUACUUGAUCUCCUCACAGCGAGUUUCAUAGGCUCGAGCUAAGGCAAAAGCCUCCAUCAACGUGGACGGCCGUGAGAAAAGUAGCUCACGACGAAUAUCCGAUUUCAAGCCGGUAAUGAAAAAACUAAUCAACAACGGCUCAAAAAUUCCCAUGACUUUAUUCAUCAGGUCCUCGAAGGCCGAUUGAAAUUCCGCCACAAUCGAAGUCUGAGUAAGCUUAGAGAGAUUACCUUGAUGGUCUUCAUAGAGGGAAGCUCUGAAACGGUGCUUCAGACUGAGUAAAAAUGCCUUCCACGAAGACAACAGAUUAUUGGCCUUCAUCCAUUGAUACCAACCUGCUACCGGACCUUCCAUAUGGAAGGAGACAAUCCGCAGCCGGAGCGGCUCAGGUAUUCCAUGAAAAUAAAAAAAUUCCUCAACGCGAAAUACCCACCCGUGUGGAUCGGUUCCGUUAAACUUCGGAAUCUUCAUUUUCAUAAAACGUAAGGCAGUGGCUAACUCAUUAUCUCCAGCACCCAUCUCAGUAACAGGCGGCGGGCCGGUGGAGGACCCAGAAGACCCGCAGACGAUCCCGACGAUCCAUGAAACUGAGAACGGAACUCCUCCAGUCGCGAAUCCACAGUAGACAUAUAUUGUUGGAGUAUUUGAUGAAACGACAUCGUUUGGCUCUCAAAUUGAGCUUCAAAUUGAUCCUGCAAAGCCUUAACCGCUAAAAGCACAUCCAAGUCCGCCAUCAAAGGAGUCGAUGAAAGCACCAAUUGAUACGUUCUUCCUGCAAAAUGACCGGUUAGCACAAGGGCACUCUUCGAGCGAGUGUCAGCUCCAAUAUCUCCAGAACGAAGAAGGGAGAAAACAGAGAAAAGGUUGAGCAGAAAAAGGAAGAAUAAGGAAAAGAGAGAAAGUUCAGAUCUAAAAUCUCAUAGCCUCCAUCAUGCAGACCUCUCCCGAGAGUUUUAUGCCUUCUCUUGGGAAAAUCAAAACCAAAGCGACACAACCGUCUAACAGAAUUGGUUACAACCAGAAAUAGUAAAUUGCAGGAAAAAAAUAAAAAAAUAAAAAAACAAACCAAAAGAUAAAACCGGAGCUUCACGUCCCUUUCCUUACACGACGUAGUCGUUCAUCCAAGUUGGUGGUUUUCUGGGCCUGCGUGGGCCUGAGUUGGACUGGGCCUUGGAAUGCUUGGUGACUAGCUGAGUGGCAGCAUUGGGCUCUUCCGUGGGAGGUACUUUAGGUGUAUUGGGCUCUUCCACAACGGAUGCUUCAGUUGUCUGUACAUGUUGCUGUAAAGGGAUGGCCACGAAUGUAUCAUUCAUUGUUAGAUUUAGAUCCUUGCUAUCCCUCUGCAUUUUUUUUCUUGUUGAUAUUUUGGAUAUUUGUUGUUUUGCUUGGGGUGGAUUGUUGCUUGUUGAGAUAUAACCUUGAAUUCAUGUUUGUCAUCAUCCAUCUUAAUAUGCUCUGUUUCUAUUGUGAUUGCGGAAUGCUCGAGAAACCCCUCCAAUAUUUACACUUGAUGUUGUUUUUCUCACCUAAUGAGAAGAUUCACUGAUGAUUCAUGAUGUGAAGCUUCCUUUGAGAACCUUACUAUUUGUUUUCUGCUGUGCUCUGUUCCAUGUUUUUUUCUUCUUUGUUUUAGCUACUCUUUGUCCUUGGACCGUGUUCAAUGCAUAGAUGGUGGGAGAGGAGCAACUCUUGGUUUGAGGAAAGCUUCCUAGAAAAACGGGCAGAGAAAACUUUUCGGGGAUGGUCCGAAAUAGAGAAGAAAGAAGAAAUGAGUUUUUCUGGCGCUUAAGAGGAUUCCGAAAAUUUUUCGAAGUUGGUUGGUGCUAGUGCUGACUGGUGCUGGCUGGUGUUGGCUGGUGUUGGCUGCUGGCUGCCGCCGCGGGGAGGUGGUGAUCGUGCUGAAGCCAGGCGGGAAGGGAAGCUAGGAAGAAGAUGAAGAUUUGGUUUGGGCUUGAGAUAAGGCACUAGGCCCAAUUUUGUGUUGGUUUUGGCUUUGGGCUUGGGUUUGAAUUCGGAGCCCAGACCCAAGCCUAUGCUGAAGAUGAAGCCCAAAGCCCCAUUAUUAUUAUUAUUAUUAUUAUGCUAGUUUGGGCUUGGGUUUGGGCUUAUGGACUUGGGUUUAUGAUAUUAUCACUAUUAUCAUUAUUAUUAUUAUUACUAUUAUUAUUAUUAUUACCAUAGACAUUAUUAUUAUUAAUUCAAUUUUCCAAAUCUUAUUAUUAUUAUUGUUAUUAUUGUUAUUGUGAUUGUCAUUAUUGUCAUUGAAAAUCUAUAUUCUCGCAGUUUAAUCUCCUAAAGUUCAUCUCUUAUUAUUAUUAUUUCAAACUCUCAAAAUCUUAUUAUUAUUAUUAUUAUUAAUUCAAACUUUCAAAAUCUUAUUAUUAUUAUUAUUAUUAUUAUUAUUAUUAUUAUUAUUAUUAUUAUUUCAAACUCUCAAAAUCUUAUUAUUAUUAUUAUUAUUAAUUCAAAUUUUCAAAAUCUUAUUGUUAUUAUUAUUAAUUCAAACUUUCAAAACCUUAUUAUUAUUAUUAUCAUUAAUUAGAACUCUCGAAAUCUUAUUAUUAUUAUUAUUAUUAUUAUUAAUUCAAACUUUCAAAAUCUUAUCAUUAUUAUUAUUAAUUCAAACUUUCGAAAUCUUAUUAUUAUUAUUAUUAUUAAUUCAUACUUUCAAAACCUUAUUAUUAUUAUUAUUACUAUUAAUUCAAAUUUUCGAAAUCUUAUUGUUAUUAUUAUUAUUAUUAUUAUCAUUAAUUUAAACUUUCAAAAUCUUAUUAUUACUAUUAUUACAAAUUCAACUUUCAAAAGUCUAUGGUCUCGCAGUUCAAUUUCAUAAAGUUCGUUUCUCAUUUUCUUUAACAAAUUUCAAUUUAAUUACCGGAGCUCUAAUAUUUUAAAUUUAAUUCCAAAUACUCAAAUUUUCAAAUAAGCUCCAAAGAAUCCAAUUUUCACUCAAACAGUUUUAAUUCUACUUCGGCUCUCAAAUAAACCUUUUGUUUUUCUUGGUUCUACAUAAGCAUGAAUGGAAUUUGUGAGACUAAUUCGUGCAAGAUAGAUCGAGCUUUGGUGGGAGCCCGACACAUAUGAUUUUAUGAUCGAUUGAUUGAUUGACUGAUUUAAUUGUCAUGCGUGAUUGAUUUGUUCUGCUUUGUGAUAUGUAUAUAUUCAUCCCAUAUAGAUUUACUAACCCCCCUCUUGAUAGCGCAUAUUGGUUCGCCACCUAGGUAUGUAUUUUCUCGCAUCAUGGUCACUCCUUGUGCUUGUUUUAAUUCUCAUACGUGCAUGAUCGAUUCGAGUAUUCAUUGUUUUUCUCAUCAAUUGUCACAUCAGCUUCAUUUUAUUAGUAGAGACCCGACUUUAGGGACUUAGAGGGGUGCUAUGGUCUUUACCGUACCUUCCCGAUAAGUAACCUGACCCCCGAGCCCGAUCCGGUUUUUCGUAAGAUCACCUUUUCCAAAAUAAGGAGUCGCACUUAGGGUUUUCUUUCUUAUUUUGUUUACCCUUUUAAAAAUAAAACAAAAAUAAGUGGCGACUCCAAGUCAUUUUCAAAUAAUCAAUAAAAAAUCAAUUUUUCAAAUAAAAAUCGAGCUCACCAUCGAGUGGAAAACGCAUGAACCAAAAUGCGGGGUCCACACAUGGAUACAAAGAUUAAAAGAAUAAAACAAUAUUCACAAAAAUGAUGACAAAAUAAAACUACAAUAAUGUUCAAAACAAAUGACAAUAAAAUUAUACAAAUUGAUUUAUUGAACUAAUUAGAAAAAAUGAUAUUUGAAAGAAUUAGUUUUCCAAAAAUUUCAAAUUUAUUAAGAACAAUUUUGAAUUAGUGAUUUCAAUUUAUUUAUUUACAAAAAAAAA
rnacentral:lncRNA from 1 species